UACGUAGGGGGCAAGCGUUGUCCGGAAUCAUUGGGCGUAAAGCGCGCGUAGGCGGCUGGAUCAGUCUGCUGUAAAAGUCAAAGGCUCAACCUUUGAAAGCCGGUGGAUACUGUCUAGCUAGAGUCCGGAAGAGGCGAGUGGAAUUCCUGGUGUAGCGGUGGAAUGCGCAGAUAUCAGGAGGAACACCAACGGCGAAGGCAGCUCGCUGGGACGGUACUGACGCUAAGGCGCGAAAGCGUGGGGAGCGAACGAGG
rnacentral:rRNA from 1 species